CAGGAGGCCGUGAACCCAGCAAGCGGACAGCCGUGAGUUGCUGUUGCGGCCGGAUACUGUUACUGCCGUUAUCUGUCUCCUUGUAUCGAUGAAGAAUCUCUGAAAAAUAGCUACCAAGUGAGGCACGAGCGGUGAGGGUAACAUCCAAGGCGUUACCUGACUGUCGUCAGUCUUCAUAUUAGCUGUGGAUACUCUGGU